rnacentral:rRNA from 1 species
CCUACGGGUGGCAGCAGUGAGGAAUAUUGGUCAAUGGUCGGGAGACUGAACCAGCCAAGCCGCGUGAGGGAUGAAGGUACAGAGUAUCGUAAACCUCUUUUGUCAGGGAACAAAGUCGGGGACGUGUCCCCGGGUGAGUGUACCUGAAGAAAAAGCAUCGGCUAACUCCGUGCCAGCAGCCGCGGUAAUACGGAGGAUGCGAGCGUUAUCCGGAUUUAUUGGGUUUAAAGGGUGCGCAGGCGGUCUGUUAUGUCAGCGGUAAAAGCCCGGGCCUCAACCCCGGCCCGCCGUUGACACUGGCAGUCUCGAGUUGGAGAGAAGUAUGCGGAAUGCGCGGUGUAGCGGUGAAAUGCAUAGAUAUCGCGCAGAACACCGAUUGCGAAGGCAGCAUGCCGGCUCCACACUGACGCUGAGGCACGAAAGCGUGGGUAGCGAACAGGAUUAGAUACCCGGGUAGUC